GUGNAUUGAGNACGCCUUNGGGUNGNANUAUCUUUUAGUGGAGAAGAUAAUGACGGUAUCCCACAGAAAAAGUCCCGGCUAACUUUGUGCCAAGCAGCCGCGGUAAUACGAAGGGGGCAAGCGUUACUUCGGAAUUAUUGGGCAUAAAGCGUGCGUAGGCGGUUUUAUAAGUUGAAAGUGAAAGCCUUUGGCUCAACCAAAGAAUUGCUUACAAAACUGUAAAACUAGAGUAUUAGAGAGGAUAGAAGAAUUCCUGAUGUAGGGGUGAAAUCCGUAGAUAUCAGGAGGAAUAUCGAAGGCGAAAGCAUCUGUCUGGCUAAAUACUGACGCUGUUGCACGAAAGCGUGGGGAGCAAACAGGAUUAGAUACCCUGGUAGUCCACGCAGUAAACGAUGAGUGCUAGAUGUUAGAACUAUGUUUUAGCGUCGAAGCUAACGCAUUAAGCACUCC
rnacentral:rRNA from 1 species